GUGCCUAAUACAUGCAAGUCGAGCGAACAGAUAAGGAGCUUGCUCCUUUGACGUUAGCGGCGGACGGGUGAGUAACACGUGGGUAACCUACCUAUAAGACUGGAAUAACUCCGGGAAACCGGGGCUAAUGCCGGAUAACAUUUAGAACCGCAUGGUUCUAAAGUGAAAGAUGGUUUUGCUAUCACUUAUAGAUGGACCCGCGCCGUAUUAGCUAGUUGGUAAGGUAACGGCUUACCAAGGCAACGAUACGUAGCCGACCUGAGAGGGUGAUCGGCCACACUGGAACUGAGACACGGUCCAGACUCCUACGGGAGGCAGCAGUAGGGAAUCUUCCGCAAUGGGCGAAAGCCUGACGGAGCAACGCCGCGUGAGUGAUGAAGGUCUUCGGAUCGUAAAACUCUGUUAUUAGGGAAGAACAAAUGUGUAAGUAACUGUGCAC
rnacentral:rRNA from 2 species